rnacentral:rRNA from 1 species
ACUCAAAUGAAUAGACGGGGGCUCACACAAGCGGUGGAGGAUGUGGUUUAAUUCGAAGCAACGCGCAGAACCUUACCAGGUCUUGACAUACCGGGAUUAACCGUGUGAAAGCAUGGGGAUUGCCAGCAAUGGUGUAACCGGAACAGGUGCUGCAUGGCUGUCGUCAGCUCGUGCCGCGAGGUGUUAGGUUAAGUCCUUUAACGAGCGAAACCCCUACGAUUAGUUACCAGCGCGUAAUGGCGGGGACUCUAGUCGGACUGCCGCGCAAGCAGGAGGAAGGUGGGGACGACGUCAAGUCAUCAUGGCCUUUAUGACCUGGGCCACACACGUCCUACAAUGGGUUAUACAAAGGGACGCAAAGUCGCGAGAUGAAGCCAAUCCCCGAAAGUAACCCUCAGUUCAGAUUGUGGGCUGCAAUUCGCCCACAUGAAGCUGGAAUCGCUAGUAAUCGCGGAUCAGCCACGCCGCGGUGAAUUUGUUCCUGAGCCUUGCACACACCGCCCGU